AGUGAACGCUGGCGGUAGGCCUAACACAUGCAAGUCGAACGGCAGCACAGUAAGAGCUUGCUCUUACGGGUGGCGAGUGGCGGACGGGUGAGGAAUACAUCGGAAUCUACUUUUUCGUGGGGGAUAACGUAGGGAAACUUACGCUAAUACCGCAUACGACCUACGGGUGAAAGCAGGGGAUCUUCUGACCUUGCGCGAUUGAAUGAGCCGAUGUCGGAGUAGCUAGUUGGCGGGGUAAAGGCCAACCAAGGCGACGAUCCGUAGCUGGUCUGAGAGGAUGGUCAGCCACACUGGAACUGAGACACGGUCCAGACUCCUACGGGAGGCAGCAGUGGGGAAUAUUGGACAAUGGGCGCAAGCCUGAUCCAGCCAUACCGCGUGGGUGAAGAAGGCCUUCGGGUUGUAAAGCCCUUUUGUUGGGAAAGAAAAGCAGCAGGUUAAUACCCCGCUGUUCUGACGGUACCCAAAGAAUAAGCACCGGCUAACUUCGUG
rnacentral:rRNA from 1 species